GAGUUUGAUUCUGGCUCAGGAUGAACGCUGGCGGCGUGCCUAAUACAUGCAAGUCGAGCGAGACUUUCAUAAGUGGAGACUUCGGUCAAAGCGAGUGAAAGGAAAGCGGCGGACGGGUGAGUAAUGCGUGGGUAACCUGCCCUUUGGAGAGGGAUAGCAGUUGGAAACGGCUAUUAAUACCUCAUAAGCGCACAGUUUCGCAUGAAGCAGUGUGAAAAGAUUUAUCGCCAAAGGAUGGACCCAUGUCCGAUUAGUUAGUUGGUGAGGUAACGGCUCACCAAGACCGCGAUCGGUAGCCGACCUGAGAGGGUGAUCGGCCACAUUGGGACUGAGACACGGCCCAAACUCCUACGGGAGGCAGCAGUAGGGAAUAUUGCACAAUGGGGGAAACCCUGAUGCAGCAACGCCGCGUGAACGAUGAAGGAUUUCGAUCUGUAAAGUUC
rnacentral:rRNA from 1 species